rnacentral:rRNA from 1 species
CGAUGAUCCGGUGCUUGCACCGGGGAUUAGUGGCGAACGGGUGAGUAACACGUGAGUAACCUGCCCUUAACUCUGGGAUAAGCCUGGGAAACUGGGUCUAAUACCGGAUAUGACUCCUCAUCGCAUGGUGGGGGGUGGAAAGCUUUUUUGUGGUUUUGGAUGGACUCGCGGCCUAUCAGCUUGUUGGUGAGGUAAUGGCUCACCAAGGCGACGACGGGUAGCCGGCCUGAGAGGGUGACCGGCCACACUGGGACUGAGACACGGCCCAGACUCCUACGGGAGGCAGCAGUGGGGAAUAUUGCACAAUGGGCGAAAGCCUGAUGCAGCGACGCCGCGUGAGGGAUGACGGCCUUCGGGUUGUAAACCUCUUUCAGUAGGGAAGAAGCGAAAGUGACGGUACCUGCAGAAGAAGCGCCGGCUAACUACGUGCCAGCAGCCGCGGUAAUACGUAGGGCGCAAGCGUUAUCCGGAAUUAUUGGGCGUAAAGAGCUCGUAGGCGGUUUGUCGCGUCUGCCGUGAAAGUCCGGGGCUCAACUCCGGAUCUGCGGUGGGUACGGGCAGACUAGAGUGAUGUAGGGGAGACUGGAAUUCCUGGUGUAGCGGUGAAAUGCGCAGAUAUCAGGAGGAACACCGAUGGCGAAGGCAGGUCUCUGGGCAUUAACUGACGCUGAGGAGCGAAAGCAUGGGGAGCGAACAGGAUUAGAUACCCUGGUAGUCCAUGCCGUAAACGUUGGGCACUAGGUGUGGGGGACAUUCCACGUUUUCCGCGCCGUAGCUAACGCAUUAAGUGCCCCGCCUGGGGAGUACGGCCGCAAGGCUAAAACUCAAAGGAAUUGACGGGGGCCCGCACAAGCGGCGGAGCAUGCGGAUUAAUUCGAUGCAACGCGAAGAACCUUACCAAGGCUUGACAUGAACCGGUAAUACCUGGAAACAGGUGCCCCGCUUGCGGUCGGUUUACAGGUGGUGCAUGGUUGUCGUCAGCUCGUGUCGUGAGAUGUUGGGUUAAGUCCCGCAACGAGCGCAACCCUCGUUCUAUGUUGCCAGCACGUGAUGGUGGGGACUCAUAGGAGACUGCCGGGGUCAACUCGGAGGAAGGUGGGGACGACGUCAAAUCAUCAUGCCCCUUAUGUCUUGGGCUUCACGCAUGCUACAAUG